UACGUAGGGACCGAGCGUUGUCCGGAAUCAUUGGGCGUAAAGAGCGUGUAGGCGGCCUGUUAAGUCUUGCGUGAAAUCUCGGGGCUCAACCCCGAGCGGUCGUGAGAAACUGGCAGGCUAGAGUGCGGGAGAGGAGAGUGGAAUUCCUGGUGUAGCGGUGAAAUGCGCGGAUAUCAGGAAGAACACCCGUGGCGAAGGCGGCUCUCUGGGACGGUACUGACGCUGAGACGCGAAAGCGUGGGGAGCGAACAGG
rnacentral:rRNA from 1 species